GUAGUCCACACAGUAAACGAUGUAUACUCGCGGUUUGCGAUAGACAGUAAGCCGCCAAGCGAAAGCAUUAAGUAUACCACCUGGGGAGUACGCCGGCAACGGUGAAACUCAAAGGAAUUGACGGGGGCCCGCACAAGCGGAGGAACAUGUGGUUUAAUUCGAUGAUACGCGAGGAACCUUACCCGGGCUUGAACUAACGGUGACAGAUCUAGAGAUAGAUUUUUCUUCGGACACCGUUGGAGGUGCUGCAUGGUUGUCGUCAGCUCGUGCCGUGAGGUGUCGGCUUAAGUGCCAUAACGAGCGCAACCCUUCUCCUCGGUUGCCAUCGGGUAAUGCCGGGCACUCCGUGGACACUGCCAUCGUAAGAUGUGA
rnacentral:rRNA from 1 species